AACGAACGCUGGCGGCAUGCCUAACACAUGCAAGUCGAACGAGACCUUCGGGUCUAGUGGCGCACGGGUGCGUAACGCGUGGGAACCUGCCCUUAGGUUCGGAAUAACUCCCCGAAAGGGGUGCUAAUACCGGAUAAUGUCUUCGGACCAAAGACUUAUCGCCUUUGGAUGGGCCCGCGUUGGAUUAGCUAGUUGGUAGGGUAAAAGCCUACCAAGGCGACGAUCCAUAGCUGGUCUGAGAGGAUGAUCAGCCACACUGGGACUGAGACACGGCUCAGACUCCUACGGGAGGCAGCAGUGGGGAAUAUUGGACAAUGGGCGAAAGCCUGAUCCAGCAAUGCCGCGUGAGUGAUGAAGGCCUUAGGGUUGUAAAGCUCUUUUACCCGGGAUGAUAAUGACAGUACCGGGAGAAUAAGCUCCGGCUAACUCCGUG
rnacentral:rRNA from 1 species